AGAUUGAAAGGUUCCCUCAAAUCUAAAACAAUCAUUCAAUAUUAAAUUAAAAAAAAAAACAGAAAGUGAAGAACUUGAGCCAAAGACACAAAAAAACAGAUAUUAUCAAAUAAAAACUGAAAGCAUAAAAUUUGGAACUAGAUUAUCCAUUACAGGGGCAUAUAAAAUUAAUCAUCCCUUCUCAGACUUAAAAAUAAAGCAGCAGGCAGUAAUUCACCCCAAAGUUUUUCAGAAUUAACAGAAAUCAGUGUAGUGAACAUCAAACAACAAGGCAUAUAGGAUCCAGCAGUGAAUAACAUUUAAAAGAUCAGUACCAUAGCGAAACAUAUCUUCA
rnacentral:misc_RNA from 1 species